rnacentral:tRNA from 1 species
UGCCUCAGUCCUGUAGCUCAGUGGUUAGAGCACUCACCUCGUAAGUGAGAGACUUGGGUUCGAUUCCCAGCAGGGCAA